ACGUUUACAUUAAGAAAAAGAUGACUCUUAUAAUAUUGUGAUAGGAGCUCACAGGAUCAAUUUAUCCUUGAUAUCAUAUAGAACAAUUUUAGAAAAGAUCUACACUACAUGGACUUGGACGACAUUAAUAGUUUAAUCUAUGCAGUCCAACUAUUUGACAAUAUUUACCUCAAUGCAGAUCACAUGUGAUCUUGGCCUCUAUAGCCAUAAUCCUCCAAUUAUACAUAGAGAUCUCAAGUGUGAUAAUAUUUUUGUAAAUGGUAAUCAAGAGGAAUUCAAGUGAUCUUGGCCUUGCUGCAAUACUAUGCACAUCACAUGCUGCUCUACAUUGCUAUUGGGAAGCCUCGAGCUAUUAUACCAGCAGAAAGCUACAAACGCAGAACUCAAGUUCAGAGGAGAUGGAUCAGUUCGGUUUGCCUUUCAGUCCUAUUCUCAACGAAUUAAUUUUUCCCAGACAAGAGCAAGAUGCCUGCAGACACUGUUUGUGGAUAUUGGGGAAUGAGAAAGCACUGUCACUAGCUUCUUGGAGGGUGUAUUCUUUCAGCUUCUUCUGCCAAAGUUCUCACUAAACAUAUUAACUGCAACUUGCAAAAGGAGGUUGGAUGCCUCAAUUUAGUUGGAGCACCAUAUAUUUUUAUGUUGAAAGAAUCUGGCUCUUUAUCAAUUCUAAAUUCUUCCCGAAAGCACCAGAAGUGUAUCGUAGAUACAGAGUUUUGGUAUGUAGACCAAGAUAGCAUGUCAGGAAAUUUAACACGUUCAGCCUCAUCCAGGAGGAUCAUUCCUUUGCCUCAGCACACAGAACAGAAGUUGUGGCUGCUGCCUGCCAGUUCUUUGUGUGCCUUCCAACGACAUUUCUGAUGAGUAAAUAAAGCAUUUACGACACCAAAGGAAUUGCACUAAUCAGAUCUUUAAAGCAGCGAUGGCAAUUACCAGUAGCAUUCUUGCUGAGAUGGAAAUCCCAGACACAUAUAUGGCAGCUCUUCCUGAGAGCUGUGGAAGGGAUAAAAGAUCGAAAGCAGUGAUAAGGAAGAAGAGAAACCGAAGGAUGUGGUACAUGUUAGAGAGAGAAGGGGCCAAGCAACUGAUAGUCACAGUUUAGAAGAAAGGUAACAAGAUUCCAAAACAUUUCACUUUUCCCCCUUGGUUUUGGUCUCUAAGAUCCUUGGUCCUGGUAGUGAUUGGCAACCAAUAUCCCUGACAAAUAUUAUAAUUUCUGAUGCUGUAAAGAAAGCUUACUGAAAAGCCACUCUCCAUGUCCAUCCAGACAAGUUGCAGCAACGAGGGGCAAGCAUCCGGGAAAAGUACAUUUGCGAGAAGGUUUUCGAUCUCCUCAAAGUUUGUAUAUACUUUCCUUCAGUAGAAACCACGUACAUAAUAUUUGAUUCGUUUUUGGCAAUUCUACUGGCAAUUCUUUAGGUAAUUGCCUAUAGAAGUUGAUUUUGGUCUGGAUGCAACUUGCAAGAGCUGCUGCUAUAAUUUUUAUUAGUUGUAAUUUAUUUUGAGACUACUGUUGCUAAGUA